rnacentral:rRNA from 1 species
GAUGAACGCUGGCGGCGUGCCUAAUACAUGCAAGUCGAGCGAACAGACGAGGAGCUUGCUCCUCUGACGUUAGCGGCGGACGGGUGAGUAACACGUGGAUAACCUACCUAUAAGACUGGGAUAACUUCGGGAAACCGGAGCUAAUACCGGAUAAUAUAUUGAACCGCAUGGUUCAAUAGUGAAAGACGGUUUUGCUGUCACUUAUAGAUGGAUCCGCGCCGCAUUAGCUAGUUGGUAAGGUAACGGCUUACCAAGGCAACGAUGCGUAGCCGACCUGAGAGGAUGACAGGAAACAGUGGAAAGCAGAAAAGGGGGAGACUGCGACGGUAGGAAGCGAAGGGGAAUAUGCGGGAAUGGGCGAAAGCGGGAGGGAGAAACGGUGCGUGAGUGAUGAAGGUGUUCGGAUCGUAAAAAACAAUUAUUAGAGAAGAAAAAAUGUGUAAGGAAGUAUGCAAGUAAGGAAGGUACCGAAUCAGAAGGCCAAGGCGAACGACGUG